AGCAGCCGCGGUAAUUCCAGCUCCAAUAGCGUAUAUUAAAGUUGUUGCAGUUAAAAAGCUCGUAGUUGAAUUUCGGGGUCAGUAGGUCGGUCGUGCCACUGGUAUGAACUGGUUUUACUGAUUCCUCCCUCUUGAAGAACUGUAAUGCCAUUAAUUUGGUGUUGCAGGGAAUCAGGACUGUUACUUUGAAAAAAUUUAGAGUGUUUAAAGCAGGCUUUAGCUUGAAUACAUUAGCAUGGAAUAAUGAAAUAGGACGUUUGAUCCUAUUUUGUUGGUUUCUAGGAUUGACGUAAUGAUUAAUAGGGAUAGUUGGGGGCAUUAGUAUUCAAUUGUCAGAGGUGAAAUUCUUGGAUUUAUUGAAGACUAACUACUGCGAAAGCAUUUGCCAAGGAUGUUUUCAUUAAUCAAGAACGAAAGUUNGGGGAUCAAGACGAUCAGAUACCGUCGUAGUCUUAACCAUAAACUAUGCCGACUAGGGAUCGGAUGAUGUUAAUUUUUUAAUGACUCAUUCGGCGCCUUA
rnacentral:misc_RNA from 1 species